rnacentral:lncRNA from 1 species
GCUCAGCAUGGUGUCUCACACAUUUUGUUUUUAUUUAGUUGAUUUACAUUUUUCAUACAUUAUUUAGUUGAUUUUCUUAAUACAAAUGGAAGACAAUAUUUAAGUUAAUAUUGUAAAGAAUGACGUUAUUAGCUAAACUUUUUGAUAGAGAAAAAUAACGUAAAACUUUUCUGAAUUUUAAACGUCAAAUACUAAGUUAUUAAUUUCAAACGUUAAACAUUUUGAGCCACUUUUUUUGUUUUUAUUUAGU